CUGAACGAGCACAAUUCUAAGAG
rnacentral:sRNA from 1 species